ensembl:lncRNA
AGACAGACAAAGCACUUAACAAAAAUAUUACUACUUAAAUGAAAAAUUACCUACUAAGUCAUGCCAUCUCUAUUUUCCAAUUAAAGGUUUGUCAGUACAAAGUAUGUGGGAUGACCAGAAGUCAUGGAUGACUUACACGGAAGUGGCAUGGGUUGAAAAGGUCAAUUUGAAAAAUUAUUUGUAUAGGUCACUCAUGACUAAUAGUCCAAGUCUUGAGAGUAUAUAAACAAAGUCCCAUCCUAUUCAUUUAGCUUAAUGCCCGCACUAGAACUAGCUGAAAAUGGAGAGCUGAUUUUAGAGGCAUCUAGACUAGCUUGCUGGAUGGAAGAAGCUCGGCCUUGAUGACAGGUUCAUGUAACGCUCUGUGAGGGCCCCAGCAAUUGUGGUUGGAUGAGAAGACGAUAUGGGAUGAUGAUAUAACUCUCCCCUCCUCCCCCUCACUCAACACUGUGGUGCAGCAGGAAGAGGCC